GAUGAACGCUGGCGGCGUGCCUAAUACAUGCAAGUCGAGCGGACAGACGAGGAGCUUGCUGCUCUGACGUUAGCGGAGGGCGGGUGAGAAACACGUGUAUAACCUACCUAUAAGACUGGGAUAACUUCGGGAAACGGGCUCUAAUACGGGAUAAUAUAUUGAAGCAUAUGGGUCAAUGGUAAAAGACGGUUUUUCGGUCACUUCUCGAUGCAUCGGCGCCGCAUUAGCUAGUCGUUAAGGUCAAGGCUUACCACGGCAAGGAUGCGUAGCCGACGUGAGAGGGUGGUAGGCCGCACUGGAACUGAGACACGGUCCAGACUCCUACGGGAGGCAGCAGUAGGGAAUCGGCCGCAAUGGGCGAAAGCCUUACGGAGCAGCGCGGCGUGAGUGAUGAAGGUCUUCGGAUCGUAAAACUCUGUUAUUAGGUAAGAACAAAUGUGUAAGUAACUAUGCACGGCUUGACGGUACCUAGUCAGAAAGCCACGGCUAACUACGUG
rnacentral:rRNA from 1 species